CCGGUACGUAGGUGGCGGUAUGCACCUAAAACGUUGGUUGCGACCCGCCAAAACCAAGAAGAAGAAGCUUACAAUGGAGCAGUGUUGCUUGUGUUGUGUUGAGUUUUAGACGUGUAGGUAGGAGACAAGUUUUAUUCAAGAGGGCAGCGAGAUGUCUAGCUGAAGAAGAAGAAGAGCACAAGAAAAAAAUCAAUAGUUUUAUACUAAACCGUCCAGAGCUAAUGCACAACAAGGUAAGCUAGCGUUAGCAUGUUUGUUUUUGUCAUUUCUAGCUGUGUCCUCCAAAGUUGUGGUGUUGAUUGUAUAAACAUGGUUCAACCUCCCAAAGGGGAUCAAAGUUGUCUAAUCAAUAUUAAUUAAUUAAUUUGUAUUUGUAUUAUCUGCUGUUACUAUGGCAUCAUUGUGUUGUGAGUCCAGAGAUGAUUGACAGCUGGAAAGCUCUGCCGGGGGCUCAACACUACGGGAAGGCUGCCAUGGGUAAUUUUCUAUUGGCAGGUGUGUGAUGGCUGCGAUUAAAUCUGGGGCUUUAGUUCGUGCCAUCCGCAUUAUUGUGCUGGGAUUCCCCGAGUCCCCGGAUCCUCUGUCACAUUCUGUCAUUCCAGCUUUGGGCCCCCGCAACCUGCUCCCUCUCGCUCCACCCACCCCUUAUCCUCCAAAGCAUGGGGCGGUGCCUGCCCGUUCACUCCACAAAACUAUCUUACAGCUAAGGAGGCCUCUGGUUCAAGCUUGCUUAAUCACACACACACACACACACACACACACACACACACACACACAUCUCAUCAAGGUCGUCAGCACUGCGCAGACUUGACAGUGGCUGGUUGGGGUCUUUAUUUACUCAACUGCAGAGAGUAUCAAGAAACCCGUGGAUUUUUUUUUGGCGUCAGCUUCACAGAUGCCAUGCUGGCUUUCCAGUGGGUGUCUUGUGAAGAAGACACGGUAAUAACAGUUGUAGUAACGGCCGCUUUUAGGCGUCUUAAUGAGGUAAACUGUGGUUUUCUUUUACGCAAGUGAUUAAUUGGGCCAUGGCAUCUAUUAGAGUGGAGGCCACUAUUUGAGGAAAUUUGUUAUACUUCCUGCAUAUAGCCUCCUUGUUCCAUAUAUCCUCAUUUUUAAGGUUCCUACGGUCCAGAUGGAUGGUGGGGGUGGACACAUUGUGGCACUUUUACCCCAAAUCAUAUGGAGAGUCUGGGGCCAAAGUGUCCGGGGGCUCUGGGCGUUGACCCCUGGCAAUCACAGCUUGUGGCAGCCAGAGUGGAGGCCCUGCAGUGGGGCCUUCUGGGAGCUGAAUCGCCCUGCAUUCCAGCCCAAAGUCCUCCUGGCCCAUUUCCUCUGCAAAGCCAUUGAUAUCGCUUGGUUGUGUCUGUCAAGGCUGCAUUCAAAAGCUGCAGUGCUUGACCUCAGCACAAAUGAUUGUACUAUAAAGAAGAUAUUCCACAGUUGAUCCUGAAAGAUUUGUGGUCAAGAGCCCAAAGGGAAGCAUUGAUUUGGUCUAUUGUUGACUAUAAUUCUCUGUGCAUUUGGCAUGUCUGCUUCUUAUUGAGUUCUUAUGUGCUACACUAUGAAAUUACAAGUAAACAAUUCAUUAUUCAAAGGGAUCUGGGUAAUACACUGCACCACAAGGACUAAAUAACAUCUUUGAAACAUUUAGUUUUCUUUCAUUUGGGCAAAACCAAAUUACGUUUAUUGCGCUUGGAACUAGUCCAGCUCACAAGUAGUAAAACUACAAUUUGUCUUCAUGAAAAAUGGUUGUGUAUGAAAUAAAAAUUGUACGGUGAACACUUGGUUAGCGUAAAUCCGUUCCAGAAGGUCCAACUCCAACCAAAACGUACUUCAACCAAAUCUCUUUUUCCCAUAAGAAUUCAUGUAACUCCAACUAAUCCGUUCCAGAAAGCCAAAAAUGUUAAUCCAAAAUGCGUUUUUAUAGCCGGUACUCCGGCUUCCUGCCACAUUCCAACAACAUGCAUGUUAGGUUAAUUGGCGACUCUAAAUUGUCGCCAAUUGUAGAUAUGAAUGUUUUUGAUUUGGUUUAGUUUAUUUGAACAUGAAGGUUACAAUGGAAUACAUCUCGUGAAUCAUUCUUUGACAGUUCCACAUGUCCAAAAGGAGUAGGAAGAAGCAAAGAAUGUGAGCGUGGAAGGUUUUUUGUAUGUGCCCUGCGAUUGGCUGGUGAAUGGUCCAGGGUGUACCCUGCCUCCCUUCCAAAAUCAGAUGGGAUAGGCUCCAGCAUGCUUCUCUAAUGAGGAUUAAGUGUCUUUGUUGACAAAGAUGGCGAUGUGGCAGUGAGAU